rnacentral:piRNA from 1 species
UCUCUGAGAGAAUUUCUUGUGUCAUGGAGA